GCACAGAUCCUUUGCUUGUGUUUGUUCCUCCCACACCUGCCUCACUGUCCCGGGAUAGGUUGUAUGUAACCAGGGCAACAGUCAGCUGCACAGAUCCUUUGCUUGUGUUUGUUCCUCCCACACCUGCCUCACUGACACAACAGGUAUAACAUGUAGAUAGUGUCCCGGGAUAGAUUGUAUGUAACCAGGGCAACAGUCAGCUGCACAGAUCCUUCGCUUGUGUUUGUUCCUCCCACACCUGCCUCACUGACACAACAGGUAUAACAUGUAGAUAGUGUCCCGGGAUAGGUUGUAUGUAACCAGGGCAACAGUCAGCUGCACAGAUCCUUCGCUUGUGUUGUUUGUUCCUCCGACACCUGCCUCACUGACACAACAGGUAUAACAUGUAGAUAGUGUCCCGGGAUAGGUUGUAUGUAACCAGGGCAACAGUCAGCUGCACAGAUCCUUCGCUUGUGUUGUUUGUCCCUCCCACACCUGCAUCACUGACACAGCAGGUAUAACAUGUAGAUAGUGUCCCGGGAUAGGUUGUAUGUAACCAGGACAACAGUCAGCUGCUGUCCUCCAUGUCUUCAUCUAAUCUCACCGACUGUUGUCAGUUUGGUUUAUUGUAAACCUUGCUGAGAGCUAUCAUAUGACUGAGGAAGAGAUCUUCAGCUCCCGACCAAUUUGGGGCUGGUUCUUCUACACGACAGUGAGAUCAUAGAGGGGCACUAACCAUUGAUACUUUCCCUGUCAGUGAUAGCUGACAUGCUAUCAACAUGCUAUCUUUAUAACAUUGACAAAGGUGCUGAUUCUGCUGACGCAGGUUUGAGAAAAACAAAAUUUGGCAAACAUGUAGUCCCAGGAAUAUAGUUGUUGCAUUAAAAUUCCCAAAAUAAAGAGUCAGUUCCAGUGGAUCUCAAAACAAUCCUGAAAUUCAGUUGUGCCAAAUCAUUCCAGACUUGAGUAGGACUAUUUUUACUAUAUGCUUUCUAGGGUCUAGGAGAGGGACAUCUGUGUGUGUGAGACGUCAGAGGAACACAAACCUGAUCAUGGUAGUCUGCCUCAUCUGAGCACACAGUAUCGAUACAUACCUUGCAGUGUUGUACUUGUUUUUUUCUACAUAUUAACAUACCUGUAUGAAAAAUGUUCAAUAUUGUCAUAGUGAAUGGAUUUUGAUAAUUUCUUUUUGAUACUCAAGAGGGGCAAAUGCAAACUGUGUUCACAAAAUCUUGUCGUCGUCAUCACUAGUAGAGUGGUACUUUGUGGCUGCUCGUGACGAUUGUGUGUAGCAUUACACCAUACUUACAGUGCAAUAUUGCACAGUUCUUAUAGUGUAAUGUUAUACCAUGCUUAUAGUGUAAUGUUAUACCAUGCUUAUAGUGUAAUGUUAUACCAUGCUUAUAGUGUAAUGUUAUAUCAUGCUUAUAGUGUAAUGUUACACCAUACUUACAGUGCAAUAUUGCACCAUUCUUAUUGUGUAAUGUUAUACCAUGCUUAUAGUGUAAUGUUACACCAUUCUUACAGUGUCAAUAUUGCACCAUGCUUAUAGUGUAAUGUUAUACAAUGUUUAUAGUGUAAUGUUACACCAUCCUCAAAGUGUAAAAUUAUGCCAUUCUUACUGUGUGAUAUUAUACCAUGUUUAUUGUGUAAUGAUACACCAUGACGAUACUGCUACCAUUAUGAAAGGUUACACCAUGAAAAUAAAAACCUGCAAUAAAAUCUUACACCAUCUA
rnacentral:lncRNA from 1 species